rnacentral:rRNA from 1 species
UCUCAAGCAUAAUAAGGGCAUCUGGUGGAUGCCUUGGCGUCAAGAGGCGAUGAAAGACGUGGCACUCUGCGAUAAGCUACGGUGAGCCGAGAGCAGGCUUUGACCCGUAGAUUUCUGAAUGGGGAAACCCCACCCAAUAGGGUGAUCCUGUCGUGAAUACAUAGCGGCAGGAGGCGAACCCGGUGAACUGAAACAUCUCAGUAACCGGAGGAAAGGACAUCAACCGAGACUUCGCUAGUAGCGGCGAGCGAACGCGAACCAGGCCAGUGGCUUAUGCAUAAGAACCGGAACGAUCUGGAAAGGUCGGCCAUAGUGGGUGAUAGCCCCGUACGGGUAGAAAUUGCAUAAGUCCUCGAGUAGGGCGGGACACGUGAAAUCCUGUCUGAACAUGGGGGGACCACCCUCCAAGCCUAAGUACUCCUUGACGACCGAUAGUGUACCAGUACCGUGAGGGAAAGGUGAAAAGCACCCCGAUAAGGGGAGUGAAAUAGUUCCUGAAACCGGAUGCCUACAAGCAGUUGGAGCCUCUUUAUGGGGUGACAGCGUACCUCUUGCAUAAUGGGUCAGCGAGUUAGUCUUACAAGCAAGCUUAAGCCGAUAGGUGUAGGCGCAGCGAAAGCGAGUCUUAAUAGGGCGAUUGAGUUUGUGGGAUUAGACCCGAAACCAGGUGAUCUAGCCAUGAGCAGGUUGAAGGUGAUGUAACAGUCACUGGAGGACCGAACCCACGUCUGUUGAAAAAGACGGGGAUGACUUGUGGUUAGGGGUGAAAGGCCAAUCAAACCUGGAGAUAGCUGGUUCUCCGCGAAAUCUAUUUAGGUAGAGCGUCAGACGAAUACCAUCGGGGGUAGAGCACUGAAUGGGCUAGGGGGCCUUACCGGCUUACCAAACCUAAUCAAACUCCGAAUACCGAUGAGUACUAUCUGGCAGACAGACUACGGGUGCUAAGGUCCGUGGUCGAGAGGGAAACAGCCCAGACCGCCAGUUAAGGUCCCAAAGUUGUGGCUAAGUGGGAAAGGAUGUAGGACGGCCAAGACAACCAGGACGUUGGCUUAGAAGCAGCCAUCGUUUAAAGAAAGCGUAACAGCUCACUGGUCUAAAUAAGCUGUCCCGCGCCGAAGAUGUACCGGGGCUCAAGCCACACACCGAAACUGCGGACUUGUUCUUUGAACAAGUGGUAGCGGAGCGUUCCGUAAGCCUGUGAAGGUGUGCCGUAAGGCAUGCUGGAGGUAUCGGAAGCGAGAAUGCUGACAUGAGUAGCGAUAAAGGGAGUGAGAACCUCCCUCGCCGAAAGCCCAAGGGUUCCUGCGCAAGGCCAAUCCGCGCAGGGUGAGUCGGCCCCUAAGACGAGGCAGAAAUGCGUAGUCGAUGGGAAACAGGUUAAUAUUCCUGUACCCGUGAGAAGUGACGGCCUCUGGAAGUAGUUUUUCCUUAUUGGAUUGGAGAAGCUGCCAAGGAGGUCCAGGAAAUAACUCUCACAUAUGGACCGUACCCCAAACCGACACAGGUGGGCAGGUUGAAUAUACCAAGGCGCUUGAGAGAAUGGUGUUGAAGGAACUCGGCAAAUUGCCCCCGUAACUUCGGGAGAAGGGGGCCCACCGUGAAGGCAACUUUACGGUGGGGGCACAGACUAGGGGGUGGCGACUGUUUACUAAAAACACAGGGCUCUGCGAAGUCGCAAGACGACGUAUAGGGUCUGACGCCUGCCCGGUGCCGGAAGGUUAAGAGGAGAUGUGCAAGCAUUGAAUUGAAGCCCCGGUAAACGGCGGCCGUAACUAUAACGGUCCUAAGGUAGCGAAAUUCCUUGUCGGGUAAGUUCCGACCUGCACGAAUGGCGUAACGACUUCCCCACUGUCUCCAACACCAACUCAGCGAAAUUGAAUUCUCCGUGAAGAUGCGGAGUACCCGCGGUCAGACGGAAAGACCCCGUGCACCUUUACUACAGCUUUGCAGUGGUAUCAGGAUGUGAAUGUGCAGAAUAGGUGGGAGGCUUUGAAGCCAUGGCGCCAGCCAUGGUGGAGCCACCUUUGAGAUACCACCCUUUUGCUUCCUGAUAUCUAACCGAGGUCCGUUAUCCGGAUCCGGGACCCUGCAUGGCGGGUAGUUUGACUGGGGCGGUCGCCUCCCAAAGAGUAACGGAGGCGCGCGAUGGUAGGCUCAGGCUGGUCGGACAUCAGCUUAAGAGUGCAAUGGCAAAAGCCUGCCUGACUGCGAGACUGACAAGUCGAGCAGAGACGAAAGUCGGUCAUAGUGAUCCGGUGGUCCCGCGUGGAAGGGCCAUCGCUCAACGGAUAAAAGGUACGCCGGGGAUAACAGGCUGAUACUCCCCAAGAGUCCACAUCGACGGGAGUGUUUGGCACCUCGAUGUCGGCUCAUCACAUCCUGGGGCUGGAGCAGGUCCCAAGGGUUUGGCUGUUCGCCAAUAAAGUGGUACGUGAGCUGGGUUUAGAACGUCGUGAGACAGUUCGGUCCCUAUCUGCCGUGGGCGUAGGAUACUUGAGAAGAGCUGUCCCUAGUACGAGAGGACCGGGAUGGACGCACCUCUGGUGUACCGGUUGUUCCGCCAGGAGCAUCGCCGGGUAGCUAAGUGCGGAAGGGAUAACCGCUGAAAGCAUCUAAGCGGGAAGCCCCCUUCAAGACUAGGUAUCCCUAUCAGAUCCCUGGAAGACCACCAGGUUGAUAGGCUGGGUGUGGAAGCGUGGCAACACGUGAAGCUAACCAGUACUAAUUGAUCGAUCGGCUUGAUUGA